rnacentral:lncRNA from 1 species
AUUGGUGGGAAGGUAUGAAAAAUUCGUCGUUUUCCGGGUCUUUGUGGCACAUCUCUUUUCUUCGAAAGAAAGACUUCCUGAUGAAGCGACCAAUUAACAUGCCACAAAUCAAUGACAAGUAUGCACAAUCUGUGCAGCAUCAUGGACCUACUGAUGAAAGAAAACCUGUGGUAUUCUGUCAUUAAAUUUGAUGACAUCAUGAGCCCUCUUGAUUUCUGAUAUCUCAUCUUGGGCAGUCUUUGUAAGACCUGUUGGAAAUCCUGCUAAGAGAAAUAGCCUACCAGCAUUGACAAGCUUCUAGUCCUUGGUAUUUGCCACUUGGUGCAUAUUUUGAUGCCAUCAAAGACUCAUGGUCAUGAAGUUGGUGCAGGGUCUACCUGAAAAGUCAUAUGACAUCAGAGUCAACUGACCUUCAUCCGAGGUCACUGGACCUAUGCGAAACUGGAGGGAAAGGUGAAACGAAAAGGGGUUGAAUAAAGAUAGGGAUGAUGAGACUCUGCCAAAGGUCAAAGAGAUGUUUUACCUUGCUAUCUCUCAAAUCCAAUCAAAGGACACUCUGGGACAAAUUGGAAAUCACUGGCAAUGUCAACCAAGAGAUUCCAGUGGCUGAGAUCUGUCAAUGAAGCUCUUAAGAAGAAAGGAACCUUGUUGACUGACAUGAAAGAAGACUGUGUAUACUCCCUUGUUCAUACAGAAGUUUGAGCUGGAAGAUCUUCUGAACAAGCCUCUCUGGUUCCUUUGCUUGCUUCACCCAUGCACGACGGUCUAUGACAGAGUUCAUGAUUGUUCUGUGUUUGGAAGAUGAUGAGCAAGAGGUCCUUGGCGAAAUUAACUGAUGAAGUGUUUAGGUAUGCUGUAUUAGCUAUGUAGCACUAUGCUGCCUUUACCAACUCGUCAAGUUGCUAUUCAUUUUCACAACUUAUAUAGCUAUCGGUGAAAACUAACUUCUGAAGAGAGGCUGGUCAUAUUCGUGUGGUGCAUUUUUUGGAUGAAGGAAAUGUCAGAUGAGUUCUGGAGGCUCUCUUUCAUCAGUGGAUAGACAAUUACAUGCACAAUGAUUGCAUGGCUGUUUACUCUUAUCUACAUUUGCCAUUCUAAGGACUGAAAGUAAUUAUCCUAUUCUUCAAAGCACAGAAACCAUGAUGCAAUCUUGAUGUAGGACUGUGAAUACCCCGCCCAAGACUCGGAUAUGAAAUCUGGCCUAGAUUCCCCCAUCGGACAUGAUUUCCCAAGCCAGAGAUGUCCCACAUACACUUUUUCUUUUGAAAUAGUAGGACAUUUUACAAUGAGUAGGGUGUAUGAAGUACAGGGUGGACAUAAUCAAAGCCGCACAAACUGGAGAUAUCCCAGUCCGAUCUGAUCUUUUAGAACAGAUCUUAUGAUGGAGAUAUAAUCAUCUUGGCCUCAUUUUAUGAAGUUUGUCAUGUAUAGGGAACAGUGCUCAUCCACUCAAAAUCAGUCAUUUGGCUGUAGGUUACAUGAAAAAAAAACUUGUCUGUGAUUAGAAUGGUUAGGAACAGAGAUAGUUCAUGAUGUCUGUAUGAAUUCAAGUGAUGAAGAACAGAAUAAAAAGAGGCAAAAAUUA